rnacentral:rRNA from 1 species
GGAUGCGAUCAUACCAGCACUAAAGCACCGGAUCCCAUCAGAACUUUGAAGUUAAGCGUGCUUGGGUGAGAGUAGUACUAGGAUGGGUGACCUCCUGGGAAGUCCUCGUGUUGCAUUCC